rnacentral:rRNA from 1 species
AUUGAACGCUGGCGGCAGGCUUAACACCUGCAAGUCGAGCGAGCGGCGGACGGGUGAGUAAUGUCUGGGACACUGCCUGAUGGAGGGGGAUAACUACUGGAAACAGUAGCUAAUAGCGCAUACCAUAAGAUGUUCCCAGAUGGGAUUAGCUAGGAGGUGGGGUAAUGGCUCACCAAGGCGACGAUCCCUAGCUGGUCUGAGAGGAUGACCAGCCACACUUGAACUGAGACACGGUCCAGACUCCUACGGGAGGCAGCAGUGGGGAAUAUUGCACAAUGGGCGCAAGCCUGAUGCAGCCAUGCCGCGUGUGUGAAGAAGGCCUUCGGGUUGUAAAGCACUUUCAGCGAGGAGGCGUUACUCGCAGAAGAAGCACAGGCUAACUCCGUGCCAGCAGCCGCGGUAAUUC